UGGGGAGUAUUGCACAAUGGGGAAAGACCCUGAUGCAGCAACGCCGCGUGAAGGAAGAAGGUCUUCGGAUUGUAAACUUCUGUCCUCAGGGAAGAUAAUGACGGUACCUGAGGAGGAAGCUCCGGCUAACUACGUGCCAGCAGCCGCGGUAAUACGUAGGGAGCGAGCGUUGUCCGGAUUUGCUGGGUGUAAAGGGUGCGUAGGCGGAUCUGCAAGUCAGUAGUGAAAUCCCAGGGCUUAACCCUGGAACUGCUAUUGAAACUGUGGGUCUUGAGUGAGGUAGAGGCAGGCGGAAUUCCCGGUGUAGCGGUGAAAUGCGUAGAGAUCGGGAGGAACACCAGUGGCGAAGGCGGCCUGCUGGGCCUUAACUGACGCUGAGGCACGAAAGCGUGGGUAGCAAACAGGAUUAGAUACCC
rnacentral:rRNA from 1 species